rnacentral:lncRNA from 1 species
GGUGUCAAAAAGUGGCUUGGGUAUCUACAAAGUAUCUCUCUAAAAUAGUGAAUUGAAGUCGGUUGAUCCAAGCAUUCUAAUACUCCAGGGAACCAUAUCAAUUUAAAACACUUAAAACUAUAAGUGAAUUUUUACUAUCGAAAAUCUAAAACUAAAAGAGAUAAUUUGAUGUUUUACUAUGUGUUGGUGUAACAAGAAUUUAGUUGAUGUUCGAUUGAAUGUCCUCAACUAUGAUUCCUUUACUUCAAAGUGAUUGGGAUUAAUUAAGAAACUUUUUUCAUCAGUUGUGUAUUCUCUAACUUCUACAGUAGAGCGAUAAGUACAAUUAUUUGGGGUUUUUGAGCUACACUCUGAAAUGUGUAAAGUAAAAUUAAAGAUAAGAAGGUGAAAAGAUAAAAAAAAAAAAAAAGUGAAAUCAGUGUGUUUGGUUGAUAUUGGAUUUUUUAAUAACAAUGUAUGUAUUGAGUAUUUAUAGUAAAACUAUUGCUUAUUAGCCAAAUGACGUGACUUACAGUGUUAAAUUUCUGCUCGACUAAUUUUGCGGGUAGUGCAUCAGUUUUCUCCGUUUAGGAGGUUGUAGCGCCCUAUCUUCCACUCUAAAUAUCCUCAUUCACGACAUUUUGUGUGUUAUUAUCAAGUCCCACUUUUUCUUGACUUAGUAUGAGGCCAUUAUAACGAAUGAACUUGAUUAGCAGGCUUGUGAAAUAAUCAAUUUCCCUCGCUCGGGGUGCUCCAAGACCGCCUUACCUUCCAUCGGCUAGGGGUUUCAUCACCUAAAAUCCAAUCACUUAUAUGUCGAGGUUGGUUAACAUGAUAAUUAUUCUUAGGUGUGUACAAAUGCCUCAUACAUUGUAUUAUCAGAUUCCCUUUGAGAGACGAGAAGAUGCAAUGCAAAUAUCAAAGUUGAGCGUGAACAUUGUCAUUAUUACAUUGUAAGGUAUAAACGAACUGUCAAGUAACCUUGCCACAACAUGCAAUUGUCAUCGUUGUUUUUAUUUCAAUAUAGACGAUUUCUUUUCCCGGUUAAAUCUUUCAUUUUUCUUUAUCUACCUCGGAGAAAACUUCAUGCUUGAUAUUCAAGCACUUUAUUAAUAAAUCAACAUUUGACAUCCUUACUUCCUCUGAUCAAACAUGAGCCUCGCUCCUCCUUCAAAUUUUAAUAUUUUAGACUUCGUAGUAAAUACAUCAAGCCUCAAGUUACUUAAAAAUUCUUUCUAUUGGACAUCAUUUUCUCAAUCAUAACACUUCAAUGUGGAUAAGAGGCGAGACUUUACAUUCCUAUUCAUGUCGAGUUAAAUCAUCAUCCAUUUCAUUCUUUCUUUCACACUUUGACUUUCUCGACCAACAAUAAGUCUUUCAGGGAAAACAGGCUAAUCCUCGGUAUCUGUCUCACUGCUCCUUUGCCUCAUCCAAACCCUAGUGAAGAUGUAUUAUCAUUAUGAGGUUUUCUCUUCAUGUAGAUCUUCAAAGAAGGAUCCACAUACAAUUUUAUUUCUUUUUCUCGUAAAAUUAACUAGAUAGCUGACCUUGUGGUUAUCCAUUUUAAUUUGAACAUAAUGGAACUUUUUGUUUUGAUGCACAAUGUUUUGUUUUCAGCUUAUGCUCAUUUUGCAUUCGCUAGUUGGUAUGUUCUUUUAUCAUGAAACAUGUAACACAGGUGAGCCAAUGUAGAUAGAAAAGUUUAUAUAGU